CAAUAGCGUAUAUUUAAGUUGUUGCAGUUAAAAAGCUCGUAGUUGGAUUUCGGAUGGGACUUGCCGGUCCGUCGUUUCGAUGUGCACUGGCCAGUCCUAUCUUGUUGUCGGGGACUAGCUCCUGGGCUUCACUGUCCGGGACUAGGAGCUGACGAGGUUACUUUGAGUAAAUUAGAGUGUUCAAAGCAAGCUUACGCUCUGAAUAUAAUAGCAUGGGAUAACACGACAGGACUCUGGCCUAUCGUGUUGGUCUAUAGGACCAGAGUAAUGAUUAAGAGGGACAGUCGGGGGCAUUCGUAUUCCGUUGUCAGAGGUGAAAUUCUUGGAUUUACGGAAGACGAACAUCUGCGAAAGCAUUUGCCAAGGAUGUUUNCAUUG
rnacentral:rRNA from 1 species